UUUUAUUUCUAUGCACUUUGUUUGGAUGAAUGGAUGGAUAGGAAAGGAAAGGGAAAAGGAAAAGGCACAGGGAUAAUAGAUAUUCAUUGUUUUGGGAUUUUAAUGAGGUUAGAAAAGAAUGGAUAGGAAGUUAUUAGUUAUCUCUUGAAAUUCCACUUUGCUUUCCUCUCAAAAUUAAGGGAAUAAGAAUUAUCCAUUUUUUGAAUAAGACUUUUACCUUUAAUAUUCAAAAUCCUUUCUUAUCCUUUGAAACAUCCGAACAUGGAUAAUUGUUUAAUCCCUCAUUUUUUUUUCUUGUCCUAUUCCAUGUGUAGACUAUAAUUUCUUUUCCAAUUCAACUAAAAUUUUCAAACAUUGUGAUGGACUAUUAUUCAAUCUGAAAGUUAAAGUGUAUAAAUGGGGACCUAAGAAUAGGUUUAAAAUUGUUACAUG
rnacentral:misc_RNA from 1 species